GGGGGGGGGUGGGGGGGGGGGGGGUGCGUGCAGGGCGGGCGAGCGGGCGGGGAGCUUGCUCCGCUGACGUUAGCGGCGGACGGGUGAGUAACACGUGGCUAACCUACCUAUAAGACUGGGAUAACUUCGGGAAACCGGAGCUAAUACCGGAUAAUAUAUUGGACCGCAGGGUUCAAUAGUGAAAGGCGGUUUUGCUGUCACUUAUAGAUGGAUCCGCGCCGCAUUAGCUAGUUGGUAAGGUAACGGCUUACCAAGGCGACGAUGCGUAGCCGACCUGAGAGGGUGAUCGGCCACACUGGAACUGAGACACGGUCCAGACUCCUACGGGAGGCAGCAGUAGGGAAUCUUCCGCAAUGGGCGAAAGCCUGACGGAGCAACGCCGCGUGAGUGAUGAAGGUCUUCGGAUCGUAAAACUCUGUUAUUAGGGAAGAACAAAUGUGUAAGUAACUAUGCACGUCUUGACGGUACCUAAUCAGAAAGCCACGGCUAACUACGUG
rnacentral:rRNA from 1 species